rfam:Larimichthys crocea isolate SSNF unplaced genomic scaffold scaffold11, whole genome shotgun sequence.
GUUUACCUUUUUUGCAAGUUGCUUUGGAUGAAAGCAUCUGCUAAAUGACUAAAU